rnacentral:rRNA from 1 species
CCUUCGGGGUACUCGAGUGGCGAACGGGUGAGUAACACGUGGGUGAUCUGCCCUGCACUUUGGGAUAAGCCUGGGAAACUGGGUCUAAUACCGAAUAUUUCCUGCUGGUUGCAUGACUGGUGGGGGAAAGCUUUUGCGGUGUGGGAUGGGCCCGCGGCCUAUCAGCUUGUUGGUGAGGUUAUGGCUUACCAAGGCGACGACGGGUAGCCGGCCUGAGAGGGUGACCGGCCACACUGGGACUGAGAUACGGCCCAGACUCCUACGGGAGGCAGCAGUGGGGAAUAUUGCACAAUGGGCGCAAGCCUGAUGCAGCGACGCCGCGUGAGGGAUGACGGCCUUCGGGUUGUAAACCUCUUUCAGUAGGGACGAAGCGAAAGUGACGGUACCUGCAGAAGAAGGACCGGCCAACUACGUGCCAGCAGCCGCGGUAAUACGUAGGGUCCGAGCGUUGUCCGGAAUUACUGGGCGUAAAGAGCUCGUAGGUGGUUUGUCGCGUUGUUCGUGAAAACUCACAGCUUAACUGUGGGCGUGCGGGCGAUACGGGCAGACUGGAGUACUGCAGGGGAGACUGGAAUUCCUGGUGUAGCGGUGGAAUGCGCAGAUAUCAGGAGGAACACCGGUGGCGAAGGCGGGUCUCUGGGCAGUAACUGACGCUGAGGAGCGAAAGCGUGGGGAGCGAACAGGAUUAGAUACCCUGGUAGUCCACGCCGUAAACGGUGGGUACUAGGUGUGGGUUUCCUUCCUUGGGAUCCGUGCCGUAGCUAACGCAUUAAGUACCCCGCCUGGGGAGUACGGGCCGCAAGGCUAAAACUCAAAGAAAUUGACGGGGGCCCGCACAAGCGGCGGAGCAUGUGGAUUAAUUCGAUGCAACGCGAAGAACCUUACCUGGGUUUGACAUGCACAGGACGCCGGCAGAGAUGUCGGUUCCCUUGUGGCCUGUGUGCAGGUGGUGCAUGGCUGUCGUCAGCUCGUGUCGUGAGAUGUUGGGUUAAGUCCCGCAACGAGCGCAACCCUUGUCUCAUGUUGCCAGCACGUAAUGGUGGGGACUCGUGAGAGACUGCCGGGGUCAACUCGGAGGAAGGUGGGGAUGACGUCAAGUCAUCAUGCCCGUUAUGUCCAGGGCUUCACACAUGCUACAAUGGCCGGUACAAAGGGCUGCGAUGCCGUGAGGUGGAGCGAAUCCUUUCAAAGCCGGUCUCAGUUCGGAUCGGGGUCUGCAACUCGACCCCGUGAAGUCGGAGUCGCUAGUAAUCGCAGAUCAGCAACGCUGCGGUGAAUACGUUCCCGGGCCUUGUACACACCGCCCGUCACGUCAUGAAAGUCGGUAACACCCGAAGCCGGUGGCCUAACCCCUUGUGGGAGGGAGCCGUCGAAGGUGGGAUCGGCGAUUGGGACGAAGUCGUAACAAGGUAGCCGUACCGGAAGGUGCGGCUGGAUCACCUCCUUU